UUGAGCAGAAAGAGCUAGAGCCAAGUACAGAUGUUGAGGGUCGGUCCCUUGGCCUGACCCCUUCCUCUUAUCCCCCACCCUCUGUCCACUCGAGGUACAGACACAGUGAAACCAUGCUCUGCACCAGGACCACACAGAUGAUUCCAAUUAUGGCCAGGCCAGUUUGACGAAGCGCAGUGGAAGCGACACCAUCGAUAGUCUAUCACAAACACCGUAGUGCCGACUCCGAGAGAGGAAGGGAGCUUUGAGGUGGUGGGGAGAGAUGGGGUUAUCUGAAAGGAUGUGACAGGUGACAGCAAUGUGCUGGAGACCUGCUGAGUCCUUUCUCCUAUCGAUGGGUCACGAGGGAGAGGGGAGAAUAGCAAAGGAGGCCAUUCCGGUGUAAUGCCCUGGUCUCAGGACCUGAGCCCUAGGACCAUGCCCCAGGACUACCUGACAUGAUGACUCCUUGCUGUCCCUAGUCCACCUGGCCAUGCUGCUGCUCCAGUUUCAACUGACCUGAGCCCUAGGACCAUGCUCCAGGACUACCUGACAUGAUGACUCCUUGCUGUCCCCGGUCCACCUGACUGUGCUACUGCUCCAGUUUCAACUGUUCUGCCUUACUAUUAUUCGACCAUGCUGGUCAUUUAUGAACAUUUGAACAUCUUGGCCAUGUUCUGUUAUAAUCUCCACCCGGCACAGCCAGAAGAGGACUGGCCACCCCACAUAGCCUGGUUCCUCUCUAGGUUUCUUCCUAGGUUUUAGCCUUUCUAGGGAGUUUUUCCUAGCCACCGUGCUUCUACACCUGCAUUGCUUGCUGUUUGGGGUUUUAGGCUGGGUUUCUGUACAGCACUUUGAGAUAUCAGCUGAUGUACGAAGGGCUAUAGAAAGAAAUUUGAUUUGAUUUGAUUUGAUGUGACAGCAUGGGCAGUGCCAUUGAAGGUUUUCAUCUAUUCUAAAGUAGAGUAAAAAAGGCUUUGGAGCAAGUGUGCCAUCUAUCUAACUCUAUGGCUAUAACAUAUUGUAAUUCAGUGCCUAGUAUAUAAGGACUAACCCCCAACCUUUAGCCAUAUGGGGACCAGCACUACUGAGGGGUCCUUCAUAUGAAAUCUAUUUCAAAAUGGACACUUCUGACCUUAUCCCUUUCUACUUCCUGGUACAAAAUGUAAAUACCGGGGGGAGUAGAUAAGGUGCACAUUGUGUGUUUGUGGUUAAGUCAUGAAGUCUGGUACAAUAACUAAAUUGUGUAUGCACUAUGUUCAUAGUCUACCGUCUAUAGCGGGGUUAGGCAACUAGAUUCAGCCUCGUGCUGAUUUUUGUCGGAGCGAAUGCCUGGAAAAUAAUGAUAAUAAUUUGUACAUUGCAAAUUGACCACGAUCCCUCUAGGUUGUGUAUUCUAGAGUUUCAGUAUGGGUAUACGUAGUGCACCUGCUCUAAACUUAGUUAUGUGGUCUGGUAAAUGUGACCAGAUAUUGUACUCUGCUCUACAAGGUGUGAUGUCUGGCAUGGUUGGGGUCAAGUCCAGUUCGAUUCAGUCAA